rnacentral:lncRNA from 1 species
UGUCUCUUGAUUGCUUGCACAUAUGCUUUGGCUUGACUCUUUUUGAUGAUUCUUGAUUUAUAUGCAUGUUUGAAAGUGAUAAAGGCAGUUUUGUUGUUGAGCCUCUCUAGCCAAAUGAGCCUACCUUGUUGUGAUCCUUUGAUAGCUCCUUUGAGCCUAUGCUUUUCCCAUUUCUUUGUUUUGAAGCUGAUACACUAGCCCUAAGUGAAAAACCAUGAUUACCUUAACCUUAGGGAAUUUUGGAGCUUUGGAAUUGUUUUGGGAAUAUGUGUGGUCUUCCGAGGGAUUCAGAGAAUUGGCUAGUUGGUUCCUCUUCUUGUUUUGUUUUGUAAAUAUGUUGUGUAUCUUGUCUCUUAGAGUUGUAUUCUGAAAAGAGAGAAAAGAAAAGAGAUAAGAUGAAAAAAAAAGAAAAAAAAAUACAGAAAAAUGAAAAAAAAAAAAAGAGAAAGAAAGAAAAAAAAAUUGUUUUGUGAACAAUGGAGUCAAGAAGAGGAUUUAAUUAGAGGUUUUGGGUGUGAUUUGAUUGUGUUUACAUUUGUUCCCCAUUGCUCCUCUAUUUCUUUUGGUUUGUA